AUUAUGGCUCAGGAUGAACGCUAGCGGCAGGCUUAACACAUGCAAGUCGAGGGGCAUCGGGAGUAGCAAUACUUGCCGGCGACCGGCGCAAGGGUGCGUAACGCGUGAGCAACAUGCCCGUAUCAGGGGGAUAAUCCAUGGAAACGUGGUCUAAUACCCCAUAGUAAUUAUGUAAGGCAUCUUAUAUAAUUUAAAGCUUUGGUGGAUACGGAUUGGCUCGCGUGACAUUAGCUGGAUGGUAAGGUAACGGCUUACCAUGGCUACGAUGUCUAGGGGUUCUGAGAGGAAGGUCCCCCACACUGGAACUGAGACACGGUCCAGACUCCUACGGGAGGCAGCAGUGAGGAAUAUUGGACAAUGGAUGGAAAUCUGAUCCAGCCAUGCCGCGUGCAAGGAAGACGGCCCUAUGGGUUGUAAACUGCUUUUGUAUGGGAGCAAUAAGGGCUACGUGUAGUCCGAUGAGAGUACCAUACGAAUAAGCACCGGCUAACUCCGUGCCAGCCGCAGC
rnacentral:rRNA from 1 species